rnacentral:rRNA from 2 species
UACGGAGGAUCCGAGCGUUAUCCGGAAUUAUUGGGUUUAAAGGGUGCGUAGGCGGCCUGUUAAGUCAGAGGUGAAAUACAGCGGCUCAACCGUUGCAGUGCCUUUGAAACUGACGGGCUUGAAUGUGACCGAAGGAGGCGGAACGGGACAAGUAGCGGUGAAAUGCAUAGAUAUGUCCCAGAACCCCGAUUGCGAAGGCAGCUUCCUAGAACAUAAUUGACGCUGAUGCACGAAAGCGUGGGGAUCGAACAGG